AGAGAGAGAGAGAGAGAGAGAGAGAGAGAGAGAGGGGAAGGAUGGGCCUUGUGUAGCACAAGGUCUCAGUUGACACAGAUGAUCCCUGUUGAUCUAUGAGGUCCCUUCAAAGCUGUCAAAGUGCACAAACAACAAGUACCUUUUUUGUCCCAUGAUGAUGGCGUCACCAGCCUGCCCAUUAUGCCCAAAGUGUGGAACCCUGGACUAUAUCCUAAGCUAUUAGGAGAGGGAUGCUACUGUUGGUGGUGCAAUCAGGUCAUGAAGGCCAUUGCAGAAGCCAUCAGCUCAGGAGUCAUCCAUGCCAACAGAACCUGUCCCACCAAGAACGCCAUCACCUGUUGAGCAUUCCUCGUCCCCCAGUUAAAACAGCAGCAAUACUGCUCUCUGAAAGAGACUGGCAGAUAUUGGUAGACCUUGAGCAGCAGCUGAAGUUCCCUGGUCACAUUGCAAUGAUCACCUUGACAUUUUCCUGCUGUCUGAGUCCACAAAAAGAUGGUCCUGCUGGAUCUCACAGUCUUUUGGGAAGACCUUGUGGAAGAGCUCUUUGAAAGAAAACUUCCGAUGCUCUGGUCAGCAACUGCCAGAAGGGAGGCUGGAGGGCAAGGUGCUUUCCAAUAAAGGUCAGAUGCUGCAUCUCAUCUCUGUCCAGAGCCCCAUGCAUCGUGGGUGUGGAUAAGCAAAGAAUCAUCUGUAAUAUCACUGAAGCAGAGGCAGUCUCAUGAUGGCUAAAGAGAGGAGAGCCAUGAGGACUGUAGUGAGCCACCUGCUCACAAGCUGGGGUCUGAUCACAGCUGGGUCACCUGGAGGAGAGUGUAUGAAGAUAAAAGACCCAAAUCACCUAAGUGGGGGCAUGGUGGCUGGGGGUCUGAGUCUCACUUCCGCCCUUUGUGGAGGUGAGCGGAGGGGUUUCCGCCGGGUACUCCGGUUUUUUCCCCCAGUCCAAAGACGUGUGCUGUAGGCUGACUGACAUUUCCAAAAUGUCUGUCAUGAGUGAAUGGCUGUGUAUAUGUGAGUGCAAUUUUCCCCUGCGAUGGGUUGGCACCCCGUCCAGGUUGUCCCCCACCUCGUGUCCCGAGUUCCCUGGGAUAGGCUCCAGGCUCCCUCAUGACCCUGUGUAGGAUAAGUGUUAUGGAAAAUGGAUGGAUGGAAAAACUGUAGUUUUUAAAAAAAGAUUUAAGUGGGAAAUAUCUAAAUGUUCAAGGUUAAAAAAUCUCAGAUAUUUGUAUCCUUGUGUAUCCCUUCAACCUCCGAACUUCUGACCAGAUGUCUGAAUCUGCUACUUUGGACAGAAGGAGCACAUGAUGUGUAGUCAGUGACAGCAAUACGACAUGCAUGUGUAGAGUACUGUAAUGCUUUAUUAGAAAUUCUACUAAUAUUCUACUAAUAUUGUGAUUGAGCUCUCUCAUUGAGUUACACUGAUGUUAGGUAAA